UACGAAGGGGGGCUAGCGUUGCUCGGAAUGACUGGGCGUAAAGGGCGCGUAGGCGGUUUGCACAGUCAGAUGUGAAAUUCCUGGGCUCAACCUGGGGGGCUGCAUUUGAUACGUGUAGACUUGAGUGGGGAAGAGGGUCGUGGAAUUCCCAGUGUAGAGGUGAAAUUCGUAGAUAUUGGGAAGAACACCAGUGGCGAAGGCGGCGACCUGGUCCUUGACUGACGCUGAGGCGCGAAAGCGUGGGGAGCAAACAGG
rnacentral:rRNA from 1 species